AUUGAACGCUGGCGGCAUGCCUUACACAUGCAAGUCGAACGGUAACAGGUCUUCGGAUGCUGUCGAGUGGCGACCGCGGGAGUAAUACAACGGAACGUGCCCGCUCGUGGGGGAUCACGAGGCGCAAGCUUAGCCAAUACCGCAUACGAUCUACGGUAGAAAGCGGGGUGGCUCCGGACCUCGCGCGGGCGGAGCGGCCGAUGGCAGAUUAGGUAGUUGGUGGGGUAAAAGCUUACCAAGCCGACGAUCUGUAGCUGGUCUGAGAGGAUGAUCAGCCACACUGGGACUGAGACACGGCCCAGACUCCUACGGGAGGCAGCAGUGGGGAAUUUUGGACAAUGGGCGAAAGCCUGAUCCAGCCAUGCCGCGUGCAGGAUGAAGGCCUUCGGGUUGUAAACUUCUUUUGUACGGAACGAAAAGCCUCUUUCUAAUAAAGAGGGGUCAUGACGGUACCGUAAGAAUAAGCACCGGCUAACUACGUG
rnacentral:rRNA from 1 species